AGAGUUUGAUCCUGGCUCAGGAUAAACGCUGGCGGCGUGCUUUAUGCAUGUAAGUCGAACGAUCUCAAUUUAUCGGGAUAGUGGCAAACGGGUGAGUAACACAUAAGUAACCUGCCCCUAAGUAGGGGAUAACUCCGAGAAAUCGGAGCUAAUACCGUAUGUGGUGGUGGAGGUAAUGCUUCACCACUAAAGCCUUCGGGCGCUUGGGGAGGGGCUUGUGUCCGAUUAGCUAGUUGGUAGAGUAACGGUUUACCAAGGCGAUGAUCGGUAGCUGGUCUGAGAGGAUGGUCAGCCACACUGGGACUGAGACACGGCCCAGACUCCUACGGGAGGCAGCAGCAAGGAAUUUUGUGCAAUGGGCGAAAGCCUGACACAGCGACGCCGCGUGGGGGAUGAAGGCCUUCGGGUUGUAAACCCCUUUUCUCAGGGAGGAAUAAUGACAGUACCUGAGGAAUAAGCCACGGCUAACUACGUGCCAGCAGCCGCGGUAAAACGUAGGUGGCGAGCGUUAUUCGGAUUUAUUGGGCGUAAAGAGGGCGCAGGCGGCUUUUCAAGUCGGGUGUAAAAUCUCCCAGCCUAACUGGGAGGGAUCAUUCGAUACUGUUAGGCUAGAGGGCAACAGGGGGAGGUAGAAUUCCCGGUGUAGUGGUGAAAUGCGUAGAUAUCGGGAGGAAUACCAGUGGCGAAGGCGGCCUCCUGGGUUGUUACUGACGCUGAUGCCCGAAGGCGUGGGGAGCGAACAGGAUUAGAUACCCUGGUAGUCC
rnacentral:rRNA from 1 species